rnacentral:rRNA from 1 species
GAAUGCUGACAUAAGUAACGAUAAAGCGGGUGAAAAGCCCGCUCGCCGGAAGACCAAGGGUUCCUGUCCAACGUUAAUCGGGGCAGGGUGAGUCGACCCCUAAGGCGAGGCCGAAAGGCGUAGUCGAUGGGAAACGGGUUAAUAUUCCCGUACUUGGUGUUACUGCGAAGGGGGGACGGAGAAGGCUAUGUUGGCCGGGCGACGGUUGUCCCGGUUUAAGCGUGUAGGUGUGUGUUCCAGGUAAAUCCGGUUCACUUUAACACUGAGGCGUGACGACGAGGCACUACGGUGCUGAAGCAACAAAUGCCCUGCUUCCAGGAAAAGCCUCUAAGCAUCAGGUAACACGAAAUCGUACCCCAAACCGACACAGGUGGUCAGGUAGAGAAUACCAAGGCGCUUGAGAGAACUCGGGUGAAGGAACUAGGCAAAAUGGUGCCGUAACUUCGGGAGAAGGCACGCUGACACGUAGGUGAAGUGAUUUACUCAUGGAGCUGAAGUCAGUCGAAGAUACCAGCUGGCUGCAACUGUUUAUUAAAAACACAGCACUGUGCAAACACGAAAGUGGACGUAUACGGUGUGACGCCUGCCCGGUGCCGGAAGGUUAAUUGAUGGGGUCAGCGCAAGCGAAGCUCCUGAUCGAAGCCCCGGUAAACGGCGGCCGUAACUAUAACGGUCCUAAGGUAGCGAAAUUCCUUGUCGGGUAAGUUCCGACCUGCACGAAUGGCGUAAUGAUGGCCAGGCUGUCUCCACCCGAGACUCAGUGAAAUUGAACUCGCUGUGAAGAUGCAGUGUACCCGCGGCAAGACGGAAAGACCCCGUGAACCUUUACUAUAGCUUGACACUGAACAUUGAGCCUUGAUGUGUAGGAUAGGUGGGAGGCUUUGAAGUGUGGACGCCAGUCUGCAUGGAGCCGACCUUGAAAUACCACCCUUUAAUGUUUGAUGUUCUAACGUGGACCCGUAAUCCGGGUUGCGGACAGUGUCUGGUGGGUAGUUUGACUGGGGCGGUCUCCUCCUAAAGAGUAACGGAGGAGCACGAAGGUUGGCUAAUCCUGGUCGGACAUCAGGAGGUUAGUGCAAUGGCAUAAGCCAGCUUGACUGCGAGCGUGACGGCGCGAGCAGGUGCGAAAGCAGGUCAUAGUGAUCCGGUGGUUCUGAAUGGAAGGGCCAUCGCUCAACGGAUAAAAGGUACUCCGGGGAUAACAGGCUGAUACCGCCCAAGAGUUCAUAUCGACGGCGGUGUUUGGCACCUCGAUGUCGGCUCAUCACAUCCUGGGGCUGAAGUAGGUCCCAAGGGUAUGGCUGUUCGCCAUUUAAAGUGGUACGCGAGCUGGGUUUAGAACGUCGUGAGACAGUUCGGUCCCUAUCUGCCGUGGGCGCUGGAGAACUGAGGGGGGCUGCUCCUAGUACGAGAGGACCGGAGUGGACGCAUCACUGGUGUUCGGGUUGUCAUGCCAAUGGCACUGCCCGGUAGCUAAAUGCGGAAGAGAUAAGUGCUGAAAGCAUCUAAGCACGAAACUUGCCCCGAGAUGAGUUCUCCCUGAGACUUUAGGUCUCCUGAAGGAACGUUGAAGACGACGACGUUGAUAGGCCGGGUGUGUAAGCGCAGCGAUGCGUUGAGCUAACCGGUACUAAUGAACCGUGAGGCUUAACCUUACAAC